UGUUAACCACAGUUAUUGUUAUAAGAAGCUUUGCAAGGGGGUUUGAAAUUUCUUUUUCGGGUCUUCGUGGAUUUAUGCCCAGCUACUGCCAGGUUCACAAGUACUGGCGCAUGGGUGGUUGUCUGCUCUUAUUUAUAAUUUUAUAUGUAUUUAUUUAUUUUUUCUUUCUAUGUUUUAUAGCGCUACGUACCUGUCAGUAGGUGUUUUAUAUAAUUACCGUGAUUCUGCAAAAUAUCAUUGUAAUAAGGGGAGAUCUUGCACUGAAUAUAGAUGUCUAGAUCUCUACAAUUUCAAAACAAAUAGAUUCAAUAAAAUGUGCACAUACCAAUCCUUGGAUACACUAUUAAUCUGCAUCCAUGGAUUCAAGCUUCAUUGAUGACGAUAGCGAACACAGCCUUUCUGAUUUUCAAAGUAAUGAUAGACUCUAACCGAUCUCAAGAUAGUACCGUUGAGCCAACUGUUCAUGGCGAAUCUACCUUAAAUCGCAAAAUUUUACUUUGUGGAAACGCAAGAACAGAAAAUCACAUUUGGUAAAAACCAUAAUAAUAUUUACCAAAGAAGACAACUUUGACGUCUUGGUCGCAACACCAACCACACUACUCGCCGAUAACUACAAACAACCUUUGAUGUUCUACCAUGGAAUCUUGUUAUUAUCUUUCUGGGAGAUACACAUCAAAGUUUACCAUUAAUCACAGUCCAAAGUUCGAUGACUCGUUUUGCUGUUUUAUUUAUUUUAUAAAUGAAAUAAAACGUAUUUUUGAGCAUACGAAAAUGCCGACUACCUACAAAGUCAGCGGCGAAAGGAUUUUAAGCAUAAUUAGAGAGGAUCCUAAUACCAUUAUUCAAAGCAUCUUCCCACCGUACAACAGAUUUCACAACUAUGAUGAAUUUCCUAUCCGCGACACAGAACCCGAAAUUGAGGCAUGUACUUCAACGUACAGUAAUUUCGCCUUUACUGGAACACGUACAAUUAAACAUUUUCAUUUCUAUUCUGUCUUUUUUAGGUGAUCGAUAGCUCUAGAAACAGUCAAGCAUAUUUCGUCGGUUCGGAAGUCAUGUUAGCGUAAAAACGAGAUCAGAAAGGUUCUCUUAUGAAUGGCGUCAAGGGUGGGAAACGUUUUACAAGUAAUAACUUGCAAUAUAUUUCACAUCUGUAUUGAAAAUACAUGCGUCUUAGGUUAAAUAAUCAAUGCGCAAUUAGCCAUCAUUGCUUUAGAAACCGCAAGAACAACAAUCUACGUGUACCCAGUACAUUACAGCCACAGAACAUAUUGUUAUUCAAUUAUACCUACCUAUUGCUAAACUGCUCUAAAAUGUCAAGGUUGGUAACUUACUUUAACGCGCUAUCACUUCCUAGGCACUUUGAUUCUUACAAUUUCUAUUUAAUAGAACAAACACUCUCACAUAUUACCUGAGCCAUCGACAGAGACACAAUUGGUCCUGGCAUUGUCUCGAGUUCGUAAAGCACGAAACUGGAAUUGGCGACAGUAAUCACAGCAAAACACAUAACGCCUACACCCUCAUAAUAAUGCAAAUAAAAAAGUAACAAUGUUUGCAAAACAAAAUUAACUUUUCUCUUCCUCGUCAUCCUUCAUCGAAACAAUUGGUAAACCACAGCAACUUUGAAUUGUUUAAAAAAUAAUGGUAGAUAAACGAAAUUCUUAGUUAUUCGAAAUAUUGACGAAUGCACUUAAAACAAACUAGAUCGACAGUGCGACCCAAUUCUACAAUUUCCGCUAACAAAAAAUACAGCCUAUCAUUCAUGGUUGAAAGUCGCGCGAUCGAAACGCAUACUUUUUGUGUUAACUGUGCCAAAUUGUGUCGAAAACAAAUACCAAUUUUGGCCUGAAACGUCAUUUAGAUGACUUCCAAGUACUCAGAGAGUUUAGGUACGAAGUUUAAAUCUGUGACGUUGCAAUUGACCAUUUGUGACAUAGUAACUAUUUGGAAACCAAUAAUAGUAAAAACAAAUUAAAUUUGAAAAAAACUUUAAUUCUCGAACUUCCAACAACAAAAGAUACAACACAUAAGGACAUAAUUGCCGUUUACCUGAACUAUUACAGACUGUCGUGUUUAUCUCUGCUUACCAAUAUGAUACAAUUGCUAACAGAACUAAAAUAAAGAGUGAAACCGUAAAACAAGGAGGAGAGGAGUACUGAAAACAGUUCGAUGUAGUAAUGUUGUUUAUUGAAUGUAUUUGUACGCGUUUUGUGCGUCGCAAAUCAUAAAAACCAUUUAGGCUUUUGUGUAUGACGUAAAUACCUUGUAGGAUUAAACGAUGUUUCCAAUUGCUUGUGGAGCCAAUGCCUUGUUUUUUUGAAGUAUAUCCGGGAUCGUCAUGGAGAUUAUAUGAUCUCGUAGUGCAGGCAUCAGCACGUAUCAUUAAUUGUUGUAAAUUCUUUGCUGUUUUGUGAGCUACCAUUAUUGAACCACGUGGGAAUAUUUUUGAAAGAGUCGAGGUGUUUUUUUGACAAUGUUACUCAGACGUUAAAAUUGUAACCUGCAAAUUUGAGUUGUUUUUAAUCAUUUUGAUAGGAGCUUCAGACCUUUUUUUUGGAUGAGAUUGAAGUUUUUUUUU